rnacentral:tRNA from 1 species
GGUGGCUCAGCGGUAGAGUGCUUGCCUUGCAUGCAUGAGGCCUUGGGUUUGAUUCCUCAGCACCA